GCCACCUUCUUGAGCCCGAAGUGCUGAUUCCUAAGGGGUACUCAGAUGUCCUAGUGGCACUGGCUGAAGUGUUGAUGGACACACAGUCCUGGACCGUUCCAUCCUGAUGGCGUGACCCUACUAUGUAGGACACACUGAAACCCCUCAAGACUAAUGGGCCUAAUUUGCCAGGGACAGGUGGACUAAAAUCCAUAGAAUGGGAUGCACUUUAUUCUUUCCACCGCUAUUCUUAGAUCAUUCCUGCCAGCCAAGGGGGAAGGAAGAGACCAACGGUGCCCAGUAAGCAGACUAUGAUGAACAUCCAAAGGAAGAUU